UCAGAGUUGAGACCCCCCCCCCCUCGCGAAAACUAAAAUAAAGUAAAUGUUCCAUCUUUUAACUACAGGGUAGACCUUGGAACAUCUGAUGUUUUUGCCAUUGAUGUUUUGCUGAAUUGCUUGACGGUGCUGAGCUCAGAGUAUCUUGGUAUCCAACAAGUAGUUUUUGGUGGUCGUAAAAUGGGUGAUUGGGAAGAGGGGAUGACUAGUUCUGAGGACGACUACAAGUUUUUUGAAAUAUAAAGUGAAUUUUGAUUCCAGGAGUCUACACCACUGAGGGCAUUAACAUGUAUGCAGAGAUUGGAUGAGAAGCACAGAUAUUCCCACUCUACCUGAAAGACUCAAAGACUGCCUUGUCUUAAACUUAUUGUGCAUUAAGAUUUGGAUAGAUCACAUCUUACCACCUAGACUUUUCACGUUUUUAGAAACUCCCAUCUUAAUGAAUUUUUUUUUAUAAAUUUCCACAUACCAUUUUCAAUUUUAUUAAAAAACUCCCACCACUUAACGAUUUUUGUUAAAUUCCAUUAACAAAACCGUUAAAUGGGUCCCUCAUAUACAUUUUGUUAACAAAAUCGAACUUGAAAUAGUUGCAAGUCUUUCCAAAUAGUUAUAAUUCGUUCCAAACUUGCUCCAUAAUUGUUGAGAUUUUGCCCUUAAAUUGAUGAAAUUGACUUUGAUUUCAGCGUAAAUUAAUAAUAAAAUGCAUAUAUGAGGUCUACUUAACGGUUUUGUUAACGGAAUUUAAUACAAAUAGUUAAGUGGUGGGACUUUUUAACAAAAUUGGAAAUGGUAGGUGAAAAUUUAUAAAAAAAAAAUUCAUUAAGAUGGGAGUUUCUAAAAACGUGAAAAGUUUAGGUGGUUUUGAAAAAAAAAAAUCUUAAGAUUUUCGUAAUCUUCAUCAUAUGACGUGACUGCAGCCUUAUUGGCUUUGAUUGGCAGAUAUUCAGCUACAACUGUAAUUAUAGGGCACUCAUCUUAAACAGGUUGCAUUGCUUGACAAGACUGCCCUGCUUCUGCAAAUUUUAGUUAGCAGAAUUCUCUAGUGCAACAAGAGAAGUAAGAAAUGCGCUACGAAUGAACAUGUUUGUCAAACUUUUGCACAAGGGAAUCUGAGAUCUUGUAGUAUAUAUCUUCCAAGGAUAGCCUCCCCAAGCAAUAUGUUCCCCCUUCCCCCUUUAAUCCAGCUUGCUGGAGAUAAAUUUGUAAGUUCCAUUUCGUUUCUAGGUUUUUUAUAAUAGUUCCUCGAAAAUUAAUCUAGAUUUACAAUAGAUAUACAUUUGCUUGGUUUACGGAUUCUUCGGUAAUGAUGGUAAGUAUUUCAUUUCCAAAGAAAUGUUGUUUCCGCACUUUUCAUAGUAUGUGUUGAUAUUUAAUUAAAACGAUUAUAAAACAUGGUUGCUAAAUGCUACUUUCAUUUACCAUGUACAACCCACCUAAAUACCAAAAAUAUCCUUAUUCAUUCAAAACUCAUUUCUCCCUCUUCCCCUCCUCUCUCAUCACCCUCUUCCUCUUCAGUUUCAUCUCCUCAUUUCUGGUUCAGAAUCUCACAAAUUCGUCUACCGUCAUACCCCAAAUUCGUUUCCAAUCUCUUUAAUCUUUAUGAAAAUGUUGGAAAAUUAGCGAAGAAGUUAAUUGAAUUUCCUCCAACUUUCUUUCAGAAUUUCGAAGGGAAUUUCGGUAUUUUAAGGUUAGUUUUCUCCCCAAUUAUGUGUUUUACUAGUGUAAUUUCAUAUUUGUGCAAAAUUCGAACCUAUUUCGUACUAUAAUUUUACCAAAUUUCAAUUUUGAGAAUUAGGUUCGAUUUUGGUAAAUUUGCAUGAUUAUUGAUCGAUUUUUGCGAAAUUAUUUUUGAAGAUUAAGUUGGAUUUGUUUAAUUCAAUAAUACAUUUCCCCCUUAGUUCGAUUUGUCCCCAACCUGUGUAGAUCUUUUAUCAUUUUCACAUUAUUUGAUAGUGUUGGUUAGAAUUCCAUAUUGAUUUUAAUGGACUUCAUCUUUAUUGAACAAUAUAGUUGCCUAUUUUCAUAUAACUGGGAUGAAGUAAUUGCUACAAUUUCAUGUAAUUGGAAUGAAGAGGUUGAUAUUGUUGUUUCAUAUAACUGGGCUGAAAUAGCCGUGCUUAUUUCAUAGA